GCCAAGCCGUAAACCUUUAACUCACACCUCAUCCGCCCGGGCACUACAAGCUCAGACUUAAAACCCAAAGGACUUGACGGUGCCCCAUAUCCACCUAGAGGAGCCUGUCCUAUAAUCGAUGAUCCACGUUUAACCUCACCACUUCUAGCCCCCCAGCCUGUAUACCUCCGUCGUCAGCUCACCGCAUGAGCGCCAAAUAGUGAACAAAAUGGCCCCUCGCCAAAACGUCAGGUCAAGGUGCAGCAAACGAAGCGGGCAGAGAUGGGCUACAUUUUCUACCAUAGAAAACUACGAAAGACUGUGUGAAACCCCAGCAGAAGGCGGAUUUAGUAGUAAAGCGGAGAUCAACAAACUCCAUUUAACAAGGCACAGGGGCAUGUACACACCGCCCGUCGCCCUCUUCAACAACUAAGUUAUAGUAAAUAACCAACCUCCCUGUAAAGAAGAGGUAAGUCGUAACAUGGUAAGUAUACCGGAAGGUGUGCUUGGAAACAAAAUGUAGUUUAAACAAAACCCCUUGCUUACACCAAGUAAAUAUCUGUUAAGACAGGUCAUUUUGAGCCAAACCCUUAGCCGUAACACCCCCACCUGUGACACCCCCACCACAAGGCCCCCCCCAAAACAUUCUCCACCUCCUAGUAUAGGCGAUAGAAACCCCCCUCAGAGCUAUAAACAGUACCGCAAGGGAACAGUGAAAUAGAAAUGAAAUAAAACUAAAGCACAACAUAGUAGAGACUCCCCCUCG
rnacentral:misc_RNA from 1 species